rnacentral:other from 1 species
UUUGCUUUAUUAAAGAAAGCAUGGUAUAUUUAACUAGACUUAUUUUUGUUGGUGAAGAAAUGAUUAGUGAAUAACUUUCCACUUCGUACCGCUAAGCAGGAAUAGUAAUAUUAUGUGCCAGUGUGCACGAGGAGGAAUUUAGAUAUGGAAACAGGUACAGUAAAAUGGUUUAACGGCGAAAAAGGUUUUGGUUUUAUCGAACGCGAAAACGGUGACGAUGUAUUCGUACAUUUCAGCGCUAUCCAAGGUGAAGGCUUCAAAUCUUUAGACGAAGGCCAAAAAGUUACUUUUGACGUAGAAGAAGGUCAACGUGGACCUCAAGCUGCUAACGUUGAAAAAGCGUAAUUUUAGCUGAUAAAAGAGACUCACUUUUGUGAGUCUCUUUUUU